CUAACAUGUUCAAUAUAAAUAUCAAUGUAACUUAAUUUCAUAAAACUUAAUAUAAAUACAAAUCUUAUGGAAAAUACACAUACACAUUAUUUUUUCUCAUUGCAGUCAUCAGUGACACUUGCCGAAUUAUCAUCUCGGCACAACUGUAGCCUACUGACCAGGAAACUGAUGGCGUUGCUGCUUCCAAGUACAAGGGUUCUCAUCUCUCUACUAGCUUCGUCAAGGAGAUCUUAUACCCAAGCAUAAGAAAGGCCCAGGUCCCAGACUCUUUUGCUGCAUCUGGACUUCAUCUUACAAAGAAAAACAUGGAAUUGAGAGGCUGAGAAACUGAGAACUCUAAUUCCAGGCAAUAAAUACUUCUUAAACAGGCAAUUUAAAUCAUUACUUAGUUUAGGCUUUAAAAAUCAGCCCUUUUUGGGGCGCCUGGAUAGCUCAGUCAUUGAGCAUCUGCCUUCGGCUCAGGGCGUAUUCCUGGAGUCCCAGGAUUGAGUCCUAUAACAGACUCUCCGCUGGGAGCCUGCUUUUCCCUCUGCCAAUGUCUCUGCCUCUCUGUGUCUCUCAUGAAUAAAAUAAAUAAAAUAUAUUUUAAAAAAUCAGACUUUUUAUUUCUUUUUAUUUUUUAUUUUUUUAAAGUUUUUAUGUAUGAGAGAGAGAGAGAGAGACGGAGAGAGAGAGAGAGAGAUUGAGAGAGAGGCAGAGAUAGGGGAGAAGCAGGCUCCAUGCAGAGAGCCUGACCUGAGACUUGAUCCCCGGUCUCGCCCUGGGCUGAAGGUGGCGCUAAACUGCUGAGCCACCAGGGCUUCCAUAUUUCUUUUUUUUAAAUAACACCUUUUAUUUUUUAACUAACUUAUUUUAUUUAAGUAUAGUUGACACACAAUGUUACAUUAGUUUCCAGUGUAUAACAUAGUGAUUCCACAAGUUUAUCCAUUGUGCUGUGCUCACCACAGGUGUAGCUGUAUCUGUCACCAUAUGUUUCUAUUACAGUGUCAUUGACUGUAUUCCCUAUGUGGUGCUUUUUAUUCCUGUGACUUACUCAAUACGUGACUGGAGGCAUGUAUCUCCCAUUCAGCUUCACCCAUUUUGCUCAUCUCCCCACCUGCACCACAAUGGCAACCAUCAAUUUGUUCUUUGUAUUUAUACAGCCUUUUAAUUUUGUGGCUGCUUGCUUAUUUUUCCUGAUAACCACAAACUUGGGAUUUGGAGGAAGACUAGUGUGGUCCUAGGCUAAGUAAGGAAUUUUUUUCUCUACAUGAUUGAGUUGUAAAUUGAAUGAAGACUAAUUAAGAGGUUUUGUAAAGAUUUCAAGGGAAAGUAUGAUAUAAGCAGAAUUUUGAAAAAGUGGGGAAAGAAUUUGGUGAAAGACGAUUGGGGCAAAUCUCAAAUUUUAUUCCCCUUUUCUGUAUUUGUGCUUACAUAUGCCCGGUGGUUGUUGUGAAGAAGGAGAACCACUCAAAGUCCAGUUCAGUUGUUGAAUUUGAGGGAAAAUAAUAUCAUAACUUAAAUUCUUUUGUUGGUAUUUGAGAUUUUUUUUUUUACUUUUGUCCUUAUCAGAAAAGAGUGAAGAGCUAAGUAAAGACAUGCAUAUGAGUGUAAUUUGUCUUUAACCUAAGGUUCUUGUACGUUUUUAAUAACAUUUUUCUAGAAAAACUAUUUCUGUGAAGGUUAAAAGGCAAAGAAAAAAACAACCAUUGUAACAUUAUUAAUUUUCUGAGAACUCACUACCCAUGGAACCUUUUGUACUUAGAGUGUACUGUUCUUGCUAAAUAAAUUUCUAAUAAUUCAGUUGUCACCAUUCUAAUUAUUUCUGUUUACUUUAACUGAAUCACGGAAGAAAUUGAUAUACUUGUGAAAUUUAUAAAAUAUGCACACUGAUAAAAAGAUGCAGUUUUUUUAAAAAAGUAUCUUUUGGCAGUUAAAAAAAACCAACAGUACCUAUGUGUGGAUUGAGUAGGGUUGUGGAUAUAUUUUAUAAUUUUGGUCCUUGAAAUAUUAUUGACCCUUAGGGUGUCACAUGUUAUAUUCAAAUACCACAUGAUCUUAAUGUAUUACCAACAUUUAGGAUGGGCAAUGGAGUUUUCCUGUUCCUGUAGAUUAUAAAACAAAAACAUAAGAGGGGCUGAUUUCAUUUAUUUCAAGACUAUUGAUUUCCAGUCCUUCUCUGCUAACUUUAAAAAAGUCACAAUAGAGAUUCAUUUAUUUUUAUUAAAAAUGAUAAAUCUUCAAGUAUAUUCUCUCUUUAGGGCUUUUAGAUUUUACCUCUUUACAUGCUUUUCAUAGUUCAGUGAAAUAUUUCUAUGGAAAUAAUAGUGACAAUAGCAGUUUGAACCAGAUUAGAAAUACAAGUGGUUCCUCUACGGGAAGAUGCCUCCGAGGUUUGAAGAUUGUAGAUUCUGUGCAUAGAUUUUUAGUAAAACAUUUUCACUACCUCUGUGUUUGAAAAACAUAAUAGAUAAAUAUCCUUGACAUUACAUAUAUUCAUUGAUU
rnacentral:lncRNA from 1 species